AUGAACGCUGGCGGCGUGCCUAAUACAUGCAAGUCGAGCGAACGGACGAGAAGCUUGCUUCUCUGAUGUUAGCGGCGGACGGGUGAGUAACACGUGGAUAACCUACCUAUAAGACUGGGAUAACUUCGGGAAACCGGAGCUAAUACCGGAUAAUAUUUUGAACCGCAUGGUACAAAAGUGAAAGACGGUCUUGCUGUCACUUAUAGAUGGAUCCGCGCUGCAUUAGCUAGUUGGUAAGGUAACGGCUUACCAAGGCAACGAUGCAUAGCCGACCUGAGAGGGUGAUCGGCCACACUGGAACUGAGACACGGUCCAGACUCCUACGGGAGGCAGCAGUAGGGAAUCUUCCGCAAUGGGCGAAAGCCUGACGGAGCAACGCCGCGUGAGUGAUGAAGGUCUUCGGAUCGUAAAACUCUGUUAUUAGGGAAGAACAUAUGUGUAAGUAGCUGUGCACAUCUUGACGGUACCUAAUCAGAAAGCCACGGCUAACUACGU
rnacentral:rRNA from 1 species